UACGUAGGGUGCGAGCGUUGUCCGGAAUUAUUGGGCGUAAAGGGCUCGUAGGCGGUUUGUCGCGUCGGGAGUGAAAAUCCAGGGCUUAACUCUGGACUGGCUUCCGAUACGGGCAGACUAGAGGUAUGCAGGGGAGAACGGAAUUCCUGGUGUAGCGGUGAAAUGCGCAGAUAUCGAGAGGAACACCUGAGGUGAAGACGGGUUGCUGGGCUGACACUGACGCUGAGGCGCGAAAGCCAGGGGAGCAAACGGG
rnacentral:rRNA from 1 species